ACAGAAUAAUCAUUUUUAAAUGGAAUCGAUUGUUGUUAGUAGUGGUUGAUACAAUUCUAUAUCACUAACAAAAAAAAUGUUACCAUCGCACUGAUUGAAAUGGAAAUAUAAUUACUUGUUAGCGACAACCCUGGCGGUGGUUGAAAAUAAUUUGACAGUUUAGUAAUGGAAAUGCUUCUUCUUAUAUUGUUUUUCAACCUCAGAACUCGUUCAACUAUGUUCAAUCGUUCAACGGUGCUAUUUGCAAUUGUUUGUGUUUGUGUGCAAGGGGAAUGUGUUUGACAUUAAUGUACAUAUAUAUAUUUAUAUUUAUUUCUGCUGGUGUCAAUUAGAGUUUCUAAUAUCGAAUUUUUUGUUGACAAAAUAAGUGCUUUUAUGGAAAUCAAAAAGUGGUGAAUGAAAGACAGUCGCGCAGCAUGAAUGGAGGCGUGGCAAAUAUUUUCCAAACGGAUGAAGCUACUGGUAGCAAGAAACGUAAACGUGGUUUGGCGCCGAAAAAAACGCUCCAAGAAAAGGCUGAAUUAAAAUUAAGUGUCCAGUUAACCAAUCCGAAGAUAAUGGAACCACCUAUACUUCAGAAUGGCCACCAUAAUCAAGUAGAACAACACCUGUGCUCAAUUUGUGGUCAGAAAAGCGAAGAUGAAAUGGUUAACAUUAGUGACAAAACCAUUACGAAGGAAGAGUUCAAUGCUCCAAACAUUUCUUCAGAAUGUACCUUAAACAGUAUAUGCGUACAAUGCGUAGUAAAAGUUGAUGCGCAAAAAGACAGCAUUCGAACUGGUAAAAACCAUUUACAGGGCGCACCAAAUGGACAAAUGUGCAAUUACAAACGCAAGCCCAAAAAAACUCAAGAUCCAAUGCAUGUAGUUAAUAAGCCAAACGGACAAACACAAGAAGGUGUCUUAAAAGAGGCAAUGAUGUCUACUUGUACCAGUGAAACUAGUCGAAAUAAUUGCCUUGAAGUAGUUAAAGCAGUGCCUAAGAACAAUAACUUAUGCGGCUCUGAUUCAAAUCAAAAGAAGUGUUUAAUUUUAUCGAACCCACCUGAAAUAACUUCGAUAAUAACCAUUACAUCAAGUACCAGUACAGGUGAAGAAAGCAGGAUAAUGAACAAUAAAUCAUCAAGUGCGACUUCACAACUAUGUAGUAGUGUUCGCGGUUCACUGCAUUCAAUUCACUCUGUAGAUACUCAACAACAGUCUAUGCUGGAAGUAUAUUGUGUUCACUCCGAAUCCGCAUUAAUUACAGAGUCUGGAGGUAAGGUAAACAACUAUGAACAAAAAUCCGAUACACCGAAAACAUUAAUCUGCCAACAUUGUGGACGGGCCUACUCGCGCAAGUACUAUUACGGGAGGCAUAUGCGUCACUGCCAUACACGAUAUCGAAAUUUAUCAAUGCGUAAGAAAUCCAAAUCGGCGAUAUAUAUACGUUGCAGUGAUAUGGACGCAGAUAUGCCAGAUAAUGUGAAAUACGAACCAUUGUUUCAUUGUACCGAUUGUUCGUUUUCUUGCCAUAGCAUCGUCAUACUCCGCAAACACAAACGUAGUUGCCAUUUACAAAUAUUUGAGUGUGACAUAUGCAAUUCCGAAUAUACCACUGCGCAUGAAUACGAUUUUCAUCGUACAAUAUGUGAGGCCAAAAAUGAGGUUCUAAAGAAUUCUUAUUAUGUAACAGACGAUGAUGAUGAGUUGAGCACGUACACAACAAUUGGACGAAUGACGCGUGCGCGUUCCCGUGCGCUAACUCAAAUACCCACCCGCAUCACUGAUUUGGAUAGUGAAAACGAAGAUUUUAAUAAAGGCGACUUUAAUACGGAUGACACAGACGAUGAUGAGGUGUCUGUUGCAGAUACCAUGUACUCAAAUAGAAUGCGUUUUACUGGAGACUGGGUGGAAGAUCAUAGCAACAUGCUAGAGUACUCCGAUAUGUUAGAUUAUGAACAACAGAUUUCUAGUUACAAGGAAUACGACCUUUAUCUAUUGGAUCGUUUGAAAGAUUGCAUAGACUCCAACAUUUUUAUUUGUUUUGUUCCUGAUUGCAGUUUUCGCACCUAUACUUUGCCUAGUUUAAUGAUGCAUGAUUAUGUUGAUCACUUUCGUCACGCGUGGUUUCAUUGUAAAAAAUGUGGAUGUGUUUUCACCAGAAAAGUUUUUCUUGACUAUCAUUUGGACAGACAAAAUAGUGGGCGCUUUAUAUGUUUCCAAUGCGGUGACAUUUUUGAAUUUCAACACGAAUUAAAUCGUCAUCAAAUACUUCACACCAAAUCAGUAAAUUACCAUUGUAAUUAUUGCAACUUCGAUUUCCUCACAAAGCGCGAGCUUCUGCAACAUUGCGAGAUGGAGCAGCAUAAUCCUCACGGCAUACGUCAUCUCAUACAUUAUGACCCCGAUAUGACGAUUGUGAAUCCAGUACCGAAAGCUACAGUGUAUGAGCGUGGCACCUACGCUGAAAAAAUAUGCAUAAUGAAAUUGCCUGAAACAGUUUCGAAACGACCGAUUGAACUACACAAACCUUAUCGAAGAAAAAUCGGAGACGUUUUGUUUAAAAAUCAAAAAAAUCCAAACUGUUGGGGUUGGAAAUAGUAUCUAUCUUUCACCUUUUAUUUUUUCAUGUGUGAAACAAGUUUCAAGACGAAAUGUUGAUAAUUGUGUGUAUAUAACUAAUUUCAUUGAUUUAUAUUCAUUGACACGUGACCACCAACAAUAGCAAUAUUCCAAUACUAAUGGUGCUAAACUAUCCAAAAUGUAGAAACUCGAAUUAUCACCCUAUCCAACAAUCAUAUAUAAUAGAUAAUGUUACGUCAGUAUUUGUAUCGAUAAUGGUAAUUGUGCUUAAACUCUUUUUAAUUUUGACUGUGAUGUAAAACAGAUGUGUCAUUGAUCUGAUGUCAUUUAAGAGGGGGAAUGAUUCAUAUAAGAUUCAUUGAAAAGAUCAGCUUGUUGCUGUUACCCGAUUUGUGUUAGAUCGGAGGUGUAAUACAAGCACUCGUAAUAGCAAUAAGGCCAAUGGUGCGUGAACGUAUUCAAUAGAAAGCCAGUUUGGCUUGAUUAUUAGAACUAACAUGCCGUGCCGUUGGCUUAUCGGUAGGACACUUCUGCUUAAGAAAUAGAAAUAAAUAAUCAACUUGCGUUCUAAGGCAAUGAUAAGUGAAUAAAUUUACCGCCAACUGAUAUAAAGGAAUACGUGGUAUUAUAACGGACCAUUAUUUGUGCUUAAGUGAGCUUUGGUGAACAAGGCUGCCACUCUAAAUUGAUCUGACCUGAUUUUAUUAAUAUUUUUUUAAUGAUCAAGUUUUACAAAAUUUAUGGAGUUAUGGUUUUUAUUGUCUCUUGAAUUGUACCUUUUUUUAUUGAAUCCUAUUGUAGUUAAGCACUUCAUUUAUUUUUAAAAUUUGUAAUCUCAAAACCAAAUCAAACAAUUAUUAAAUUAGCAUCCGAAAGCAUCGGAUCGAUUGUCCUCACUACGAUUGCAAGUGGGAAGAAAGAGGCAGAGUCCCAGUGUGUUAAAACGUAAAUAUUGUGUCCAUAAUUUAAAAAUUAAGUUUCUAAAUUUGUAUAUUUGUAUUUAAUAUUAACA